rnacentral:lncRNA from 1 species
CAUAACAUAAAUCAAUUAUUCAAAGUUUUUUAUUAUUCUCGUUCUACAGUUAACCUCUUUUUUUUAUAAAUUUUCUUACAUUAUUUUUUUUACUUUUCUUUACAUUUCACAGAAGACCUUCCACCAUUAACAAAAAAGAGAGUUCCAUCUUUAUUUUUAUUUUAAAAACAUCACUUCCAUUACAAUCUGAUGAUUCAGUUUGAAUUUCAAAAUUUUAACUUUUUUCCCCUUCCUUUGUGAGAAAACAGGGGCUGAGAAAUGAGAUUGAUGGUAUAGAUUUGUGAUUGUUUUUAUAGGUGAAGAAAUGUAUGGUGAGGUUGCAGGAGAUGUAGUACAGAGUGACGAGAGGGAACAAG